AUAGUAAGCUAUAAAAGGCCCCGAUAAGUCAAUGUAAAACAAUUCAAACGAGAAAACUAACGGCCUUAUUUAUGUAAAAAAAAUGAACGAAAAACAAAUAUGUAAUACAUAAACAAACGACAACCACUGAAUUACAGGCUCCUGACUUGGGACAGGCACAUACAUAAAUAAUGUGGCGGGGUUAAACAUGUUAGCGGGAUCCCAACCCUCCCCCUAACCUGGGACAGUGGUAUAACAGUACAACAUAAGAACGAACUAUAAAAAUCAGUUGAAAAAGGCUUAACUCAUCAGAUG
rnacentral:lncRNA from 1 species